rnacentral:rRNA from 1 species
AACGAACGCUGGCGGCAGGCCUAACACAUGCAAGUCGAGCGCGCCCUUCGGGGUUUGCGGCGGUCGGGGGGGUACCGCGUGGGAACGUACCCUUCUCUGCGGUAUCGCCUCCGGUAGCUGAGAGUAAUAACGCAUACGCUCUUUGGGGGUAAGAUCUAUUGGAGCAGAAUCGGGGCGGGUUGGAUUCGGUAGUUGGUGGGGUAAUGGCCGACCAAGCCGUCGAUCCUUAGCUGGUUGGAGAGGAUGAUCAGCCACACUGGGACUGAGUCACGGCCCAGACUCCUACGCGAGGCAGCAGAGGGGAAUCUUAGACAAUGAAGGCUAAUCUGAUCUAGCCAUGCCGCGUAAGUCAGGCAUGGCUUAGGAUUGCAAAGCUCUUUCAGCUGGGACGAUAAUGACGGUACCAGCAGAAGAAGCCCCGGCUAACUCCGUG